rnacentral:rRNA from 1 species
UGCUUUACUCACUUAAGGGAGAGGCGGCCUUUCUGUCCCUACCUAGAUGUCGGACGUACCCAGCAGAAUAAGCGCAGGCUAUCUUUUGCCAGCAGCCGCUGUAAUACAGUGCCUGCAAGUUGUUAAUUUGACUUGCUGGGCGUAAAGCGUGCGUAGGCGGCUAAAUAAGUCAAAUGUGAAAUCCCCCGAGAUUAACUUGGGACCUGCAUUCGAUACUGGUUAGGUAGAGUAUGGGAGAGGAUGGUAGAAUCCCAGGUGUAGCGGUGAAAUGCGUAGAGAUCUGGAGGAAUACCGAUGGCGAAGGCAGCCAUCUGGCCUAAUACUGACGCUGAGGUACGAAAGCAUGGGGAGCAAACAGGAUUAGAUACCCUGGUAGUCCAUGCCGUAAACGAUGUCUACUAGCCGUUGGGGUCUUUGAGACCUUAGUGGCGCAGCUAACGCGAUAAGUAGACCGCCUGGGGAGUACGGUCGCAAGACUAAAACUCAAAUGAAUUGACGGGGGCCCGCACAAGCGGUGGAGCAUGUGGUUUAAUUCGAUGCAACGCGAAGAACCUUACCUGGCCUUGACAUACUAAGAACUUUCCAGAGAUGGAUUGGUGCCUUCGGGAACUUAGAUACAGGUGCUGCAUGGCUGUCGUCAGCUCGUGUCGUGAGAUGUUGGGUUAAGUCCCGCAACGAGCGCAACCCUUUUCCUUAUUUGCCAGCGAGUAAUGUCGGGAACUUUAAGGAUACUGCCAGUGACAAACUGGAGGAAGGCGGGGACGACGUCAAGUCAUCAUGGCCCUUACGGCCAGGGCUACACACGUGCUACAAUGGUCGGUACAAAGGGUUGCUACCUAGCGAUAGGAUGCUAAUCUCAAAAAGCCGAUCGUAGUCCGGAUUGGAGUCUGCAACUCGACUCCAUGAAGUCGGAAUCGCUAGUAAUCGCGGAUCAGAAUGCCGCGGUGAAUACGUUCCCGGGCCUUGUACACACCGCCCGUCACACCAUGGGAGUUUGUUGCACCAGAAGUAGCUAGCCUAACAGCAAUGAGGGCGGUACCACGGGUGGCCGC